rnacentral:rRNA from 1 species
UACAGAGGGUGCGAGCGUUGUUCGGAAUUAUUGGGCGUAAAAGCGCUUGUAGGCGGCACGUCAAGUCGCGUGUGAAAUCCCCCAGGCUUAACCUGGGAAGUGCGCGCGAAACUGACGAGCUUGAGUGCCGGAGAGGGUCGCGGAAUUCCCGGUGUAGAGGUGAAAUUCGUAGAUAUCGGGAGGAACACCAGUGGCGAAGGCGGCGACCUGGACGGACACGUGACGC